rnacentral:rRNA from 1 species
UACAGAGGGUGCAAGCGUUGUUCGGAAUCAUUGGGCGUAAAGAGCUCGUAGGUGGCUUGUCGCGUCUGCCGUGAAAGCCCGAGGCUUAACCUCGGGUCUGCAUUCGAUACGGGCUAGCUAGAGUGUGGUAGGGGAGAUCGGAAUUCCUGGUGUAGCGGUGAAAUGCGCAGAUAUCAGGAGGAACACCGGUGGCGAAGGCGGAUCUCUGGGCCAUUACUGACGCUGAGGAGCGAAAGCGUGGGGAGCGAACAGG